rnacentral:rRNA from 1 species
AGUGAACGCUGGCGGCGUGCCUAAUACAUGCAAGUCGAACGGAGUGGCGCACGGGUGGGUAAUGUAUAGCUAAUCUGCCCUACACUAGAGGACAACAGGUGGAAACGGCUGCUAAUACUCUAUAGUGUAGGAUGAGGCUAUAUUGUAUCAGCUAGUUGGUGAGGUAAUGGCUCACCAAGGCUAUGACGCAUAACUGGUCUGAGAGGAUGAUCAGUCAAACUGGAACUGAGACACGGUCCGGACUCCUACGGGAAGGAGCAGUAGGGUAUAUUGCUCAAUGGGGGAAAGCCUGAAGCGGCAACGCCGCGUGGAGGAUGGCACUUUGCGGAGGGUAAACUCAUUUGGUUAGGAAAGCUGUACCUAACGAAUAAGCACCGGCUAACUCCGUGCCAGCAGCCGCGGUAAUAC